CUUGGCACCGAGAGCCGAAGAAGGACGUGACUAACUGCGAUAAGCUACGGGGAGCUGUAAGUGAGCGUUAUAUCCGUAGAUUUCCGAAUGGAGCAAUCCGAUUAGAGGAAAGUCUAAUCAUCAUAUACUGAAUACAUAGGUAUAUGAGGGGAACCGCCUGAACUGAAACAUCUAAGUAGGGCGAGGAAGAGAAAUCAACUGAGAUUCCGUAAGUAGUGGCGAGCGAACGCGGAA
rnacentral:rRNA from 1 species